CACACGUGUGUAUCUUCACUGCUGCAGAGGAGAGAGAGAGAGCAAUGCCUGAACACAAACACUACAACAACAUCACUACAAACUAAACCAACAGAACAAAGUCACUUACAGGAUCAGUGAAGUGUUGUGGACUGUAAACCUGUUGACCAGACACUGACUGUACUGAUGAUGAUCAUCUGCUGCUGCACAGGCUGUAAAGUAUAACCCCUGCUGGACACGGCUCCGGAAGCUCCAGGGGGAGACCGAACUGGUAUCCCCCCUUCUUCAGGCGCGCCUCACACUCACUCACCAUUCACACAUAUCGCAGAGUUCUGGCUGGGACCGAUACCAGCAACCCCUGAAGCUGUGGGGCAGCGCUCUUACCACAGAGCCACAGAUCUCCUGACUGAACACCUGCUGGAACUGAUGUUGGACUGCUGACCUGUGUGUGAGCUGAUUCAAUAAAACAAGAUAUAUGUCAGAUCUGAACCCUUGUCAUUAUGAUUCUCUUCCUCAGAGAACUUGUGUUUAUUCCUGGUGAACAUAAUAAGCUUUAGUUGGACAUUAGCCAUAGUGAGGUUUGAACCCGGGUCUCCUUGAUUAAAGCUCAUCACAUUAUGACCUGAGCCACUGAGUCUAGAUGGUGGAGUAAUUAUCUGAAUGGGGCUUUAUUACCAAUUUCAUCCUGACCAAGGUUUGGCAGAUAUUUCUUUGUAUUUUGGCUCACUAAAUCAUUACCACCAAACGUCAAGCUCUGUGGCUCAAAGGAUGAGCGUUCGACUGCUAUUUAGAAGUGUGAAGGAUCGAAUCUCAUUUCUGCUAGAUCGAGAUACAAGUCAGACGUGAACUCUUGUCUUUAUGAGUCUCUUCCUCAGAGAACUUGUGUUUAUUCACCCAUCAUGGGUUUCACGUCCAUCAUCAGGAGCUCCUGGUCAAUAUAAUGAGGUCAAGACGGACAUCAGCCAUAGUAAGGAUUGAACCCGGGUCUCUUUGAUUAAAGGUCAACACAUUAUGACCUGAGCCACUGAGUCUGGAUGGAGCAGCAGAUGUCUGAAUGAGGCUUUAUCUAUUUCUUAAUUUCAACCAAGAUCUGAGAUAAAUUUCUUUCUAAUUUGGCUCACAAAAAAACUAUUGCCAAAAGUCAAGCCCUGUGGUUCAGUGGAAAAGUGUCUGGCUGCCAUUCAGGAAAGGGAAGGAUCGAAUCCCACACUUAUUACAACUACAUCAAGUCUCUCUCAAAACUCUCAAUAAGACCAAUUUGAAGACAUCAACAUUCAACAAUCUCAGUGGCUCAAGUCAUAAAGCAAUGUGUUUUCAUGCAGGAGACCUGGGUUCAAAUCCCACUAUUGCUUACUUUUCUGUCAUUUGAUGGGAUUCAGUCAAACAAAAUGGCUCAAGAAGCAGGAAAGCCAUGAUGGGCUAGUGGAUAAACACACACUUUCAGUGAGGACAAGAUUACAGCAGAGACUUGGGUAUGAAACCCACUUCGCAUGUGUGGAUCACAGCAAAGUAAUCGGUGCGGGAGCACAAGUGAGUAUAAAUGCUUUUGUUUUUUGUAACUGAAUCAGCAGUAAAGAGCAGUAACAGGGCUUGGAUUUGAACCCAGGUGUGCUGUGAGAACUUCACUUCUCAGGCUGUGUGCUCUGACCACUACACCAUCAGCACACACACAAACCAACACUUCUUUCUCCAAUGUGAGGAUGACCACAUUUACACACUUUGAAAAAAAAAACUAAAUAAGCACAAAUAAUUAAUAUUAAAUGUAAAUUAUUCAAAAUUAAUGUAAACUGCAUCAUAUGCUAAUAUAUUAUUACAUUUCAGUGUUCAAAAUGUGAAAAACCUGCUUAUUCCUCAAUCAAACACAUCAACCAUAUGUUAAAUGAUCUUACAGCUGCUUGUGGGGCUUUAAAUGUUCCUAAACACAAUUAAACACUGUAAAUAUCAUCAUUUACCUCUAAAGUCUCAUCAUACUGUACUGAUGACUCUACACCAAAUCUGGCCAAUCACAUGCUUUCUACAGAAAGUCCCUCCCCCAACAUACACGCGACAGAGCAGCAGCACAACAAACACACUUUCUGGACUCUCUACUGGAAAUAUGAGCUCAUAAAUACCUUUACUGGAGCUGUGAAUCCGCCUGGAUGUGGAGGAGUGUGUGGAGGAGCGUCAGCUGUUGAGAACAGGUCAAAAAUCUGCAGCAGAAACACAACAAACACACGUGUGUAUCUUCACUGCUGCAGAGGAGGAGAGAGAGAGCAAUGCCUGAACACAAACACUACAACAACAUCACUACAAACUAAACCAACAGAACAAAGUCACUUACAGGAUCAGUGACGUGUUGUGGACUGUAAGCCUGUUGAACAGAAGCAGAGACGUGUGGACAGACACUGACUGUACUGAUGAUGAUCAUCUGCUGCUGCACAGGCUGUAAAGUAUAACCCCUGCUGGACACGGCUCCGGAAGCUCCAGGGGGAGACCGAACUGGUAUCCCCCCUUCUUCAGGCGCGCCUCACACUCACUCACCAUUCACACAUAUCGCAGAGUUCUGGCUGGGACCGAUACCAGCAACCCCUGAAGCCGUGGGGCAGCGCUCUUACCACAGAGCCACAGAUCUCCAUGUCUGAACACUUGCUGGAACUGAUGUUGGACUGCUGACCUGUGUGUGACCUGAUUCAAUAAAACAAGAUAAAUGUCAGAUCUG